rnacentral:rRNA from 1 species
UACGGGGGAGCAAGCGUUGUUCGGAUUUAUCUGGGCGUAAAGGGCGCGUAGGCGGCCACUGCAAGUCGGUUGUGAAAUCUCCCGGGCUUAACCCGGAAAGGUCAAUCGAUACUGCAGGGCUAGAGUGCAGAAGGGGCAACUGGAAUUCUCGGUGUAGCGGUGAAAUGCGUAGAUAUCGUCAAGAACACCGAUUGCGAAGGCAGCUAACUAGCUUAACUGACGCUGAGGCACGAAAGUGUGGGGAUCAAACAGGA